rnacentral:rRNA from 1 species
UACGGGGGGUGCGAGCGUUGUCCGGAAUCACUGGGCGUAAAGGGCGCGUAGGUGGUUUGAUAAGGGUGUGGUGAAAGUCCGGGGCUCAACCCCGGAUCUGCCGUGCCGACUGUCAAACUCGAGGACUGUAGAGGCAGACGGAAUUCCGGGUGUAGCGGUGGAAUGCGUAGAGAUCCGGAAGAACACCGGUGGCGAAGGCGGCCCGCUGGGCAGUGACUGACGCUGAGGCGCGACAGCGUGGGGAGCAAACAGG